CCUACGGGAGACAGCAGUGGGGAAUAUUGGGCAAUGGGCGCAAGCCUGACCCAGCAACGCCGCGUGAAGGAAGAAGGCUUUCGGGUUGUAAACUUCUUUUCUCAGGGACGAAGCAAGUGACGGUACCUGAGGAAUAAGCCACGGCUAACUACGUGCCAGCAGCCGCGGUAAUCCGUAGGUGGCAAGCGUUAUCCGGAUUUACUGGGGGUAAAGGGCGUGUGGGCGGGAAAGCAAGUCAGAUGGGAAAACCAUGGGCUCAACCUGUGGCCUGCAUUUGAAACUGGUGUUCUUGGGUACUGGAGAGGCAGACGGAAUUCGUGGUGUAGCGGUGAAAUGCGUAGAUAUUAGGAAGAACACCAGUGGCGAAGGCGGUCUGCUGGACAGCAACUGACGCUGAGGCGCGAAAGCGUGGGGAGCAAACAGGAUUAGAUACCCUGGUAGUC
rnacentral:rRNA from 1 species